rnacentral:rRNA from 1 species
UACGAAGGGGGCUAGCGUUGUUCGGAAUUACUGGGCGUAAAGCGCGCGUAGGCGGCUUUGUAAGUUAGAGGUGAAAGCCCGGAGCUCAACUCCGGAACUGCCUUUAAAACUGCAUCGCUUGAAUCCAGGAGAGGUGAGUGGAAUUCCGAGUGUAGAGGCUGAAAUUCGUAGAUAUUCGGAAGAACACCAGUGGCGAAGGCGGCUCACUGGACUGGUAUUGACGCUGAGGUGCGAAAGCGUGGGGAGCAAACAGG